ensembl:lncRNA
AACCGAUUUAAAAGUGAAACAAAGGCAGACUCCUCCCUCAGUCCCGGGAAUUGCUCCUGUAGAGGCGCAAUAUUUCUCAGAUAAUGGGAGUCUAUGGGAAAUUUCUGACUUUUAAUAAUUAAUAUAAAAAAAACUGUAAGUCUGAUCACUCUGAAAAGAUAUAGCACACUUCUGCCCCCCGUGCCGCAGGUGUCUGCCAAGUUUGGGGCUUGUGGCUUUAAAGCUCUAGGAGGAGAUAGGUUUGGAAAAUUAAGUCUCAGAAAAAGAAUAAGAAAAAGAAAAAUAAGAAGUUUAAAUAGCAUAACAGUAUGUUGGCUUGUGCCAAGCCAACAUAAUAAGAAGUUUAAAUAGCAUAACAGUAUGUUGGCUUGUGCCAAGCCAACAUAACUAGAAUGUAAAGUUAGUGAACUAACUUUGAUGUUGGCUUGGCCUUGGGCCAAAAGAGCCACUGUACUUGUGUGUCCAACCUUCUUGAGCUGCCUUGGUGGAAAAAAAACAACUUCCAACUGUAUUUUUCUAUGGACCCUUGCUGUUUUCUGUUCCAAUAAAAAGCAUUGGCUAUGACAACAGUUUCAACAGGUUUGUCUAGCUGUAUGCAAAAUAAGUCAUGCCUUUU